UUCUAUUCAUUUAUCGGCUACAAUUUAAAUAUAUAAAGCGAUAAUUUCCGAUCACUACCUUUAAACCCGUUUUGUGGCAGUGAUUGAACCCGAUAUUUACAUGUUGGGUCAUGAUAGACCAGGUCUAGAAAAGUUUUUCUCAUCAUCUACAUCUCAUGUAGUAAUUUUUCUGAUGACUGAUUACUUGUUGCAGCAUCGCUACUAUGGAGAAUCAAUGCCUUUUGGAUCUGAAGAGCAGGCAUUUCAAAAUGCUAGUACUCUUGGAUACCUAAGCUCAGAACAAGCUUUAGCAGAUUAUGCACAGGGGAUUGUAGAUGUUAAGAAGAAUCUGUCAGCAGAAAAUUGCCCAUUGCAGUUGGAGCAUCUUAUGGUGGAAGUAAGUUAAUUAAUUAGACUGAAAUUUUAGUUUUUGUAGGGAAAAUUCAAGAUUCAAGACUAAUCUUCUGUUGUUCGUGUAAUUGAUGAUCAGUGCUUGCAUCCUGGUUUCGUCUAAAAUAUCCCCACAUUGUCAUUGGUGCUUUGGCAUCAUCCUCUCCCAUACUCUAUUUCGAUGAUAUUACACCACAAAAUGGAUACCAUGUUGUUGUCUCCAGGGAUUUUUGUAGAAGAUUAAUCAAGCUCCAGUGGUUCAGUUUUAAAUGCUUAUGCAAAUAAUUUACAUUAAUAGCAUUAGUUUGUUAGAUUUCUAUUAUAAGUCUGUUAGCUGUGAAGUUAGUUAGCUUAUUUUUCCCGCCACUAUUAGAUGACGAGCUGGGAUGAUGAGCUGGCAACUCAAUUUUACCUGUAUAAAUACCUCACUUGUAAAUCCUCUCAUCAACGAUUUUGAAUACAAAAGCUUUCUCUUAACAUGGUAUCAGAGCUAUCAAGGCUCCUGAUCCAGAACUUUCUUCAUUGACAGUUAUUUCUUCUUUCUUCUCCCUAAAUUUUUCUGCAAUUUUCUUGAUCUUUUGCAAUUUUCUUGAUCUUCUCCAAUUUUCAUACUAAUUCUACGAAGAUGACUACUAAUCCUACCGUUGAAGUCGCUGAAUCAUCUGAUACAGAUCUAAUUACAUCUAAAUCUGAGAUUGACUUGCUGAAUUCUGAUUCGCCAAGCCAGAUUCUAGUAAGUACUCCUUUGACUGAAUUCAAUUACCUCUCUUGGAAUAGAUCUAUGAUAAUUGCUUUGACUGCAAAAGAUAAAAUAGGAUUCAUAGAUGGAACCUGCAAGAAACCCUCUGCUGAUUCUCCUUUAUUGCCAAAAUGGAAUAGAGCUAAUAAUAUGGUGAUAUCCUGGAUUUUGAAUUGCAUUUCAAAAGAUUUAGUUGAAGCCUUCCUUUUCACUAAAUCUGCCAAACAACUUUGGGAUGAAUUAGAGGAAAGAUUUUCUGAAUGCAAUGGCCCUAUGAUGUACUAAAUCCGUAGGGAAAUUACAAGUUUGACUCAAGAAAACAUGUCCAUAGUCAAGUAUUACACAAAGAUGAAAAGAUUUUGGGAUGAACUUGAUUCUUUGAGAAAAAUUCCUAUUUGUUCAUGUGAUGGUUGUACAUGUGGAAUUACUGCUGCUAUACACAGAAUGGACAAUGAAGAGAAACUCAUGCAGUUUCUUCUUGGACUCAAUGACAGUUAUGACCAUGUAAGGAACCAAAUUUUACUAAUGGAUCCUUUUCCAAGUAUCAACAAAGCUUACAAUAUGGUACUGAAUGUAGAAAAACAGAGAGAGGUAGCACAUGUACCAUUUUUUCAUAAUGAUGUCUCAGUCGCUAUGGCAGUACAGAAUUAUAAGAGAUUUAACAGCAGAGACAACAGAUCAAUGGCUUAUAGAAGCAAUAAUUCAAAGAAAGAAGGUCCGUAUUGUGAUCAUUGCAAGUCAGGAGGCCAUACUAAGGAUUCAUGUUUCAAAUUAAUUGGUUAUCCAGAAUGGUACUGGGAUUUAAAGAAGCAAAGAUCUUCAAACUCACAGGCACAUAAUGUCUCAAAUGUUUUUGCUGAUCUUAACCCGGCUAACACUCCUUUAGAGGCAAAUUUGAAUUUCUCUGCAGGGACUACUGCUACUGCUCCCAGUACACAGAUAUCACAACUGGCUCAAGAAGUCCUUCAAGCAAUACAGCUUCAAAACUUGAUUCCUUCAUCAACUGAUCCUAGUAUGGUCAAUAUUGCAUCAACUUCUAGUUUUGCAGGUAUUUCACCUUGUUUAGUAUCUAAACCUGCUGUUAAUUAUAGUGACAAAGGCUCUUGGAUCUUGGAUUCAGGAGCUACAGACCAUAUAUGCUUCACAUCUUCAUUCUUUGACUUUAUUAAACCAUUGCCUAGACCUAAAUUGCUUAGACUACCUACUGGUAAAAUCAUAGUUGUCACACAUGGAGGCAACAUUACCCUAACUAAGAGGAUUACUUUGUUCAAUACUCUUUACAUUCGAACUUUUCAUUGCAACUUAAUUUCAGUUACCACAUUAACCAGAACCUGUAACAUAGCAGUCAUCAGUCUACCUUACUGUUUUGUAUUGCAGGAUUUGCUGAGUAGUAAGACAUUGGCCAUUGGACUUGUACAAGCAGGACUGUAUAUGAUUGAUCACAAAUCAUUCAGCCUUAAACAAUGUCCCAAUUCUACUGCUUUUCAUGUUUCUUCAAAUUUUAGUUCAAAUAAGUGUUUACUUUGGCAUUCUAGACUAGGGCACUUGUCCUUACCUAGACUUAGACAUGCUGAUGUAAUCUCUAAUGAUGAAAUAAAAGAAUUUUUUUGUCCUAUCUGUCCUUUAUCAAAACAGCAUAGACAACCAUUUCCUACAAGUCAGUCAACUUCCUUGAAUCCCUUUGCCUUAUUACACAUUGACCUGUGCGGACCUUACACAGUCUCCUCCAUAUCAGGUGCCAAGUACAUGCUUACAAUUGUUGAUGACCAAACCAGAUAUACCUGGAUAUAUCUACUUAACACAAAGUUCCAAGUUCCUUCUACCCUUAAUCAUUUUUUUAUUCACAUUAAAACUCAAUUUCAGCAAACAAUCAAAGCAGUAAGAACAGACAAUGGCAGUGAAUUUCUUAAUUCACAGUGCAAACAACUUUUCCUUUCCCUUGGUAUUCUCCAUCAAACUACAUGUGUCUAUACUCCACAACAGAAUGGUGUUGUGGAGAGAAAACAUAAAACUCUUUUAGAAGUAGCUAGAUCUUUGAUGUUUCAUUCAAAACUCCCAAACCAAUUCUGGUCAGAAGCCUUAAUGACAGCCACACACAUAGUUAACAGAACCCCUUCUAUUGUACUUGAUUGGAAAACACCUUUUGAAAAACUAUAUCAAGAACCACCUGAUUUGUCUUACUUCAAAGUAUUUGGAUGUUUAGCCUAUGCUACUAAUACAAAACCACAUAAGACCAAAUUUGAAUCAAGAGCUAUACCUUCUGUGUUUAUUGGUUAUGCAAAAAAUCAAAAGGCUUACAAAUUAUAUGAUAUUCACACCAAACAGUGUUUCUUUUCUAGAGAUGUCAUUUUCCAUGAACAUCAUUUUCCCUUUUCUUUUUCCAAACCCACAGACAUUACUAACUUUGUUCUUCCCAACACAAUAAAUGACAACAUUACAUUUGAAGACACUACUACUAAUACUUUACCUGCCCUUCAACCAACUGCACCAGUCACAGAACCUUCUACCUCUACCCCUUCACAAUUACUUUUCCCUUUAUCAUCUCCUACACAUAUUCAUCAAGACAUUGCAUCUCCCAUUUCACCAUCAUCACCAACUGUUCCUACUCUUAAUAACACUGAACCUACCAUUCCACCCUCACUACCACCUGUUCCUAUUCUUAGACACAGUACUAGACAGCACAAUAGACCUGCUUGGCUAAAAGACUUUGUUGCACAGAUUCAAUCAAAUGGCCAGUCUACUACUUUGCCAAAUUCAUCAGGUAGCUUAACUCCUUUCUUUCCCUCUAUGGACCAUAUAUCCUUCAUAGCAAAUGUUUCUAAGAUUAUAGAGCCUUCUAACUACAAACAAGCAAGUAAGGAUCCUAACUGGGUUAAUGCUAUGCAGCUAGAACUAAAUGCAUUAGAGGCAAAUAAUACUUGGAUACUAACCUCUUUACCUGCAGGAAAGAAAGCAAUAGGAUCCAAAUGGGUAUUUAGGGUCAAAUAUAAACAGGAUGGAUCCUUGGACAGAUAUAAGGCAAGGCUAGUGGCUAAGGGGUUCAACCAAAUGUUGGGAUUAGAUUACACAGAUUCUUUCUCCCCUGUAGCCAAACUAGUCACUGUUAGAGUUCUCUUAACUCUUGUUGCUUCAUCUAAUUGGUUUCUCCACCAAUUAGACAUUAACAAUGCUUAUUUGCAUGGUUACAUUGAAGAGGAUAUUUAUAUGGAGCUGCCUGCAGGAUAUUCAAAAGCUCUCCCAGAUCAGGUAUGCAAACUUUCUCGAUCUUUAUAUGGCCUCAAACAAGCUGGGAGACAAUGGAAUAAAGAACUCACCUCUCACUUACAACAAUUUGGAUUUUCACAGUCUGUUAAUGAUCAUUGUUUGUUUAUGAAAGGUUCAGGUUCUUCCUUUAUGGUAUUAUUAGUAUACGUUGAUGACUUAUUGAUUGCUAGUCCCACUGAAAGUUUGAUUGAGGAGGUUAAACAAUUCCUGCAUCAACAGUUUACCAUAAAGGACCUUGGUCCAGCAACAUACUUUCUUGGUUUAGAAAUUUCUAGAACCAAAGAAGGUAUUGCCUUGACACAACAGAAAUAUAUACAAGAUAUGAUUGUCACUGCUGGAUUACAAGAUGCUACAAUUGUCCAAACACCUUUAAUUCAAGGUUCAAAACUAGUUCCUGAGAAAGGCAUUAUAUUAUCUGACCCUGAGAGUUACAGAAGACUAGUUGGCAAGUUACUGUAUUUAAGCCAUACAAGACCUGACAUCACCUUUGCUGUCCAGCAACUAUCCCAAUUUAUGCAAAACCCUUAUUCUUCUCAUUUGAAAGCUGCUCAACAUGUUUUGAAAUAUCUUAAAGGGUGUCCUACAAUUGGUCUUUUCUUUUCUGCAUCUAACACUAUGAAAUUAACUGCCUUUUGUGAUUCAGAUUGGGCCUCCUGCCCUACUACUAGAAAGUCAAUUUCAGGAUAUUGUGUUUAUUUAGGGUCCUCUCUCAUUUCCUGGAAGUCAAAAAAACAAACCACUGUCAGUAGAUCUUCUGCUGAAGCAGAAUACAGGAGUAUGGCUUUGACGGUUUGUGAACUUUUAUGGUUAUCAUAUUUGCUCAAAGAUUUUCACAUUACAGUUCCUUUGCCUGUUCAUCUUUACUGUGACAAUCUUGCAGCAAUUCAUAUAGCCACUAAUCCUGUUUAUCAUGAAAGGACAAAACACAUAGACAUUGACUGUCAUGUAGUCAGACAACAAAUCACAGCUGGUUUCCUGCAAACACAGCAUAUUAACUCUCCGAAUCAAUUAGCAGACAUCUUUACAAAGUCCGUUCCCUCUCCUCUGUUUCAUUCUCUGUUGUCCAAGCUUCAGUUGGUCUCUUUGGCCCAUCAUCAGCUUGAGGGGGGAGUGUAGAAGAUUAAUCAAGCUCCAGUGGUUCAGUUUUAAAUGCUUAUGCAAAUAAUUUACAUUAAUAGCAUUAGUUUGUUAGAUUUCUAUUAUAAGUCUGUUAGCUGUGAAGUUAGUUAGCUUAUUUUUCCCGCCACUAUUAGAUGACGAGCUGGCAACUCAAUUUUACCUGUAUAAAUACCUCACUUGUAAAUCCUCUCAUCAACGAUUUUGAAUACAAAAGCUUUCUCUUAACAAUUUUAAAGUAAGAAUUCUGUCAAAUAAUAUUGGACAUUUUCAACUUUCAGGAAUUUAGUAACUUGCAGGAUCUAAAUAUCCUAUAUUUGUAUUGUAUGGAUUGGAGCAGAAUGCGAGUGAGAGUUGUUACAACACAAUACAGCAAUCUUGGUCUGAGAUUGAUAGAAUAGCAGCUGAAACAAAUGGGCUAACGACACUUAGCAAUAAGUUCAACACUUGCAGGUAAUCAAUCAACAAGAACACCAACCUCACUACAACACUUGUAUGCUUGUAAUAAUUAUUUGUUACUGUUUUGUUCAACAAAAGUCCUCUGAACACGUCGCAAGAGCUCAAAGACUACCUAGAAAUCAUGUACGUCAGUGCAGCUCAAUUCGACAAUCCUCCAAAUUAUCCAGUAGAGAGAACCUGCAGCGGAAUUGAUGGAGCCCCAGUAAGGAACUGAUAUUCUUGGAAGAAUUGCUGCAGGUCUCAAAAGUAGAUUUCGUGGAUUGGUUUCAUGCUAUGAUGUAUUCACAUUUGAGCUAAGCAACACGAGUGCAUGGGAUUGGCAGGUUAAUUUAUACUUCUAAAACAAGUAUAAAUUCACUCCAUUUCUUGAAGACUGUUAAUAGUUUUCUUCUUCUGCUUCUUUCAGACAUGUACUCAGAUUGUAAUGCCAAUCGGAUAUGGUUAUAAUGAGACAAUGUUCGAAGCAGAACCUUUUGAUAUAAAGAACUAUACCAAAGACUGUCUAGAUGUUUUUGGUAUCGUGCCUAGGCCUCAUUGGAUGACAACAGAAUUCGGUGGCCAUGUAAGCUUAUGCUACUUCUUUCUUCUUCUUCUUCUUCUUCUUCGAACUCCAGAAAAUCAGAACAUAACAGUGCUUGUAAUGAAAAUCUUUCAGGACAUAAAAACUGUACUGGGAAAUUUUGCAAGCAACAUCAUUUUCUCCAAUGGACUUCAAGACCCCUAUAGCAUUGGAGGGUAAAGAAACAGAUUUCUAAUCCUUUGUUGCAAGUUUUAUACUUUCAUUAAUAUUGAGAGUGCUAAUUCAUUCUUCCUUCUUUGAAAAAUCAACUGCAGAGUUCUAAAAGGCAUAUCAGAUAGUGUUGUUGCAGUGUAUACAGAACUCGGUAUUUUCUGUUCUCCUAGGAAUAUUGUCUGAAUUUCAAAGCUAUUUAUGCAAGAUUUUGAUUGACAGUUUCUGAUGGUAAACAGGAGCCCAUUGCUUGGACCUAUAUCCUCCAGCUCCAGAUGAUCCUGUCUGGUUGGUUGCACAGCGAGAUAAGGAGAUUAAAAUGAUUUCAGCUUGGAUUGCCGAGUAUUAUGCCAAGCUUGGCACCAAAUAAAGCAUUGGUUAAAGAAUUCUGCAUUUAAUAUACAUGUCUUAAGGCCAAAUUGUUCUCAGUGUAAUAACAAACUUGACAGAGAUCCUCUUGUUUGAUAUUUUAAUUAUUGCAUAUAAAAUCCAUAAAAUCAACCAAAGUCAAAGUUAAGAUAAAUUUCUGACUUGUUCAUGUAAGGACUUUUCAGUAACGUUCUUGUUUGAAAUGAAGGUUUUCUAAGCAAAAUACAGUUUUCUGGUUCUUGUCGUUUGGAUGUUCGAAAACAUCUGAAAAAGAAACCCCCCACCUUUUUUUUCCCCCCUUUUUCAAAUCCAUUCUCUUUCCAAUAUAUUUGGACUAUAUUGAUUUUUUAAUAAUAUUUUAAAGAUAAAUUUAAAUAAAAAAAUAAAAUUUAAUAUUUUUUAUCCAUAUUGUAUGACUUAGAGACAAUUUUAAUCAUUUUGUUGUUUUGUUAUAAUAUAUAUAUAUAUAUAUAUAUAUAUAUAUAUAUAUAUAUAUAUAUAUUUAUUUAUUUAUUUAUUUAUUAAAGUUCAUUUAAUAUUCAUUAGAUAUAAAAAAUACUCUCUUCAUCCUAUUUAAUUUUAUUUUAUUUCUAAAAAAAUAUCUCAUUAAUUAUUAUUUUUCUAAAUAAGUAUUUAAAAUAUUUUUUAAUAAUUAAUAAAAUUUAAUGUCUUUAAAAUAAUAUAAUUAGAAAGUUAUAUAUAUAUAUAUAUAAAAUAUUUUUUACCAUUUGUAUUUUUCAACGCAGAAGAUGUUUGAAAAAAUAAAACCUUUUCUUUCCUCUUAAAUAAUAAUAAUAAAUCUUAUUUUAUUGUAUUUCAUUCUAAGUAGAGUGAGUAAUAAAAAAACAAAUACACUUCAAUAAAAAAAAUUACUUUAACUAUAUAAACAAAAAGAGACAAGAAAAAUACAUGAAUUGUCGAAUUAAUCAAGAGAUUUUUUGGUAUAAAUUUAAAUGAGGUUUCACAUAAUUUUUACAGUUGUGUUUGGAUUUCUCCCUAAUUAGAAUUUAAAUUUGAUAUUAAUUGAUUAGAUUUCGUAAAAAAUUUUAAUCAAUAUUUUUUUGUUAAAACAAUAUAAAAGAAACGAGAGUAUAAAAUUUAAAAAAUUUUAUUGUAAUAUUCAAAAGAUUAAAUUUCAAAUAGUUAAGAAAAGAGCAUUUAUAAUAAAAAAAACUUAACACGUAAACUUAUAAAAGUAAUUAAAAAAAUAAUUAAAAUGUAAAAUUCACUCUCUAAAUAGUGUAAUUUUCAGCUCGAAUUUUGUGAUUUCGUUAAAUAAUUAAAAAAAUAAUUAAAAUAUAAAAUUUACUCUCUAAAUGGUAUAAUUUUCGGCUCGAACUUGUGAUUUCGUUACACUUUUAAAAGUCGUAGCAUCUCAAAAUUUUUUUUUCGAAAAGUUACCUUGAGUCUUCGUUUAACGUCGACAAUAAAAAUUAGGUUUAGCUCAAAUUUGCCAUAAAAUUCAAAACUAAUUACUACAUGAAAUCUUGACUCUUUCCUUGCAGUAAUAAUAGUCCUUAAUCAAACUUCAGCCUAGAGAUGUCAUUGAAUUACGUUCAACUAUAUAUUUUCAAGCAACACUAUUUUCAUCACAGUACGUAAAUACUGAUGGAUGAAAAUAUUCAAAACUUGUGGAAACUCUAUGUGUCUGAUAUACCUUGUAAUUGAGUGUCUGAACUAUAUAGUAGGCUACAAGAUUCUGAUUAAGAUUGGGUGUAUCAUCAGGUUCUCGCUGUUUGGAUCCACAAUAUAAUGUUGAUUCAAAGCAAUAACGACUAUAAUUAAUUAAUUUACAUUUAUUUUGAGUUUUUAUAAUCUAAAUAGGACAAAAUCAAUGUUAAUUAUCAUAAAUUAGCCGGCUAUCAAUAAUUUUAAGUCUUGACAAGAAGCUAUAAUCCAAACAGAUCCUAAGACAACAUGAGACUUUAAGCCAACAAAUAUUUAAACAUGAUAGUUUGAGAGCAGAAGAUUCAUAGCUUAAACUGGCAAUGGCUCCAUUUCAUCUAUGGCUUACAUUGCUACUGCUUGGAUCAGUUUGUGCAUCUGCAGUGCAUCCUAGGAAAUUAAAAAGAUUUGGUGGGGUAAGAAGAUUCACAGCUACCAGUGAGCCUUCUUCUGAUCUCCCACCAGAAUAUGAAAUACAUUAUUACACACAAACACUCGAUCAUUUCAACUACUAUCCAGACAGUUAUGCUACGUUUCAGCACAGAUAUAUAUUGAAUUACAAGUACUGGGGUGGAGCUAAUACUAGCUCACCCAUCUUUGUUUACACUGGUGAAGAAGUUGAUGUAACUUACGAUGUUGAGACUUUUAUUAUUGAUCUUGCAGCUCGUUUUAAAGGUUUACUAUUGUACAUAGAGGUAAUUUUUCUCGUGUUGGAACCAGGUCUAGGAAAAUUUUCUCCUUUUCGACAUCUCGUGUAGUAAUUUUUCUGAUGCCUGAUUACUUGUUGCAGCAUCGCUACUAUGGAGAAUCAAUGCCUUUUGGAUCUGAAGAGCAGGCAUUUCAAAAUGCCAGUACUCUUGGAUACCUAAGCUCAGAACAAGCUUUAGCAGAUUAUGCACAGGUGAUUGUAGAUGUUAAGAAGAAUCUGUCAGCAGAAAAUUGCCCAGCUAUAGCAGUUGGAGCAU
rnacentral:lncRNA from 1 species